UUUGUGACCCCAUGGACUGUAGCGCAUCAGGCUCCUCUGUCCAUGGGAUUCUCCAGGCAAGAAUACUGGAGUGGGUUUCCAUUCCCUUCUCCCUUGCCGACCUGGAGAUCGAACCUGGGUCUCCUGCAUUGCAGGUGGAUUCUUUACCGUCUGAGCUACAGGGAAGCCUCAGAGGGGACAGAGUCACAAACAGAUCAGAAGGUCUUGCAGGAAGUUAGACCUGCUGGGCUGGGUACAACUCAUUAAAUACCACCUUCGCCCCAUCCCCCUCCUGCCUGUCUACCAGCUCCUCUUGGCUGUGGUUGCAUCAUUCCCACAGACCAUCUGUAUAAUGGUUUCUUCCCCCAAUCCUCCCUGUUAGCCUCUCACCACUCUGUCCCCAUGUCUGCUGGUCAUCUCUCCUGUCUCCUUGUACCAAACUAAAACAGGAAGCAAUAGGUAAGAAGAUGCUCACUGAAAGUAAAACAGAAGAAACAAUUGUCAUCUUUCCCUCAAUGUCACGUGAGUUCUUUGGAGAAUGAGAAGAUGGCAACAACGUAGUGCUCAGAAAAACCAUGAGAAACCAUGGCUAAGGAUACCGGUCUAUCAGAAAGUUGAUAUCUGUCUACUCUUUUAUGGUAAUCUCUCUGUGUGUCUCUCUCAUGCUUCUUUGAGCUCCACCCGACCCCCAUGGCAGUCUCUUAUUGAGAACGGCUGCCCUCAGACCACGGAGAUGGAAAAGUAAUCCCACUGUAGCUCCAGGUGGGGAAAAGAAUGGAUGGUACUGUCUUCCCCCAGCUGAAAGAAAUCCUGAAUUUGUCUGAUGGCCCAAUCAGGCCCCGAGAAGAUUAAAGUGCAGCGAACAUUCAGAAGCCCUCACGAGCCAUCGUGCAAAUGUCUCUCUGCACCAGGGCUGGCUUCCUGGGUGUGUAGCCUGUGGGGUUGUUUACAGUCCUGCCCUUGGAAGAGCCCACGCUUAGUUGAAUGCUUUGCUGUCAUUGUCUUGAAAUUUUUCAGACUUUUUGAGCAUGGGGCCUGCAUUUUAUCUUGGCACUGGGCCCUACAAAUUGCCUAUCUGUUCCUCUGCAGCCUAGUUCUGAAGUAUCCUAUUGUGCCUGAGAUGGGCCGGCAGGCUUGGUCAGCUGUGGAAAGAGAAAGUUUCCAUGGAGAACUGUGUGAUGUGCCUGGAAGGAAUCAUUGUAGCACGAAGAAAGAUACUGAGAAAUUCUGCACCAGGGAGAUAGUUCAGUAA
rnacentral:lncRNA from 1 species